ACACGACUACAUUAGAUACCCGCGUAGUCCUAGCCGUAAACGAUACUCGCUAGGUGUCGGCCACGGUGCGACCGUUGUCGGUGCCGUAGGGAAGCCGUGAAGCGAGCCACCUGGGAAGUACGGCCGCAAGGCUGAAACUUAAAGGAAUUGGCGGGGGAGCACAACAACGGGUGGAGCUUGCGGUUUAAUUGGAUUCAACGCCGGAAAUCUUACCGGGACCGACAGCAACAUGAAGGCCAGGCUGAAGACUUUGCCGGAUUAGCUG
rnacentral:rRNA from 1 species